rnacentral:tRNA from 1 species
GGGCGAGUGGCGGAAUGGCAGACGCCGGGGACUUAAAAUCCCCUAUCAGCAAUGGUGUGCGGGUUCGAGUCCCGCCUCGCCCAC